rnacentral:rRNA from 1 species
UACAGAGGGUGCAAGCGUUAAUCGGAAUUACUGGGCGUAAAGCGCGCGUAGGUGGUUUGUUAAGUUGGAUGUGAAAUCCCCGGGCUCAACCUGGGAACUGCAUCCAAAACUGGCAAGCUAGAGUAUGGUAGAGGGUGGUGGAAUUUCCUGUGUAGCGGUGAAAUGCGUAGAUAUAGGAAGGAACACCAGUGGCGAAGGCGACCACCUGGACUGAUACUGACGCUGAGACGCGAAAGCGUGGGGAGCAAACAGG